GACGAACGCUGGCGGCGUGCUUAACACAUGCAAGUCGAACGGUAAGGCCCUUCGGGGUACACGAGUGGCGAACGGGUGAGUAACACGUGGGUGAUCUGCCCUGUACUUCGGGAUAAGCCUGGGAAACUGGGUCUAAUACCGGAUAGGACCACUGCCUGCAUGGGUGGUGGUGGAAAGCUUUUGCGGUGUGGGAUGGGCCCGCGGCCUAUCAGCUUGUUGGUGGGGUGAUGGCCUACCAAGGCGACGACGGGUAGCCGGCCUGAGAGGGUGACCGGCCACACUGGGACUGAGAUACGGCCCAGACUCAUACGGGAGGCAGCAGUGGGGAAUAUUGCACAAUGGGCGCAAGCCUGAUGCAGCGACGCCGCGUGAGGGAUGACGGCCUUCGGGUUGUAAACCUCUUUCAGCACCGACGAAGCGCAAGUGACGGUAGGUGCAGAAGAAGGACCGGCCAACUACGUGCCAGCCGCCGCGGUAA
rnacentral:rRNA from 1 species